rnacentral:rRNA from 1 species
GUAGGGAAUAUUGCGCAAUGGAGGCAACUCUGACGCAGCCAUGCCGCGUGCAGGAAGAAGGCGCUACGCGUUGUAAACUGCUUUUAACCGGGAAGAAACCCCAGGACGUGUCCUGGGUUGACGGUACCGGAGGAAUAAGCACCGGCUAACUUCGUGCCAGCAGCCGCGGUAAUACGAAGGGUGCAAGCGUUAUCCGGAUUCAUUGGGUUUAAAGGGUGCGUAGGCGGAGCGUUAAGUCAGUGGUGAAAUCCUGCCGAUUAACUGUAGACUUGCCAUUGAUACUGGCGCUCUUGAGUGCGCUUGAAGUGGGCGGAAUGUGCCGUGUAGCGGUGAAAUGCUUAGAUAUGGCACAGAACACCAAUUGCGAAGGCAGCUCACUAAGGCGAUACUGACGCUGAGGCACGAAAGCGUGGGGAUCGAACAGGAUUAGAAACCCUUGUAGUCC